UUAAAUUGAAGAGUUUGAUCAUGGCUCAGAUUGAACGCUGGCGGCAGGCCUAACACAUGCAAGUCGAACGGUAACAGGAAUCAGCUUGCUGAUUUGCUGACGAGUGGCGGACGGGUGAGUAAUGUCUGGGAAACUGCCUGAU
rnacentral:rRNA from 1 species